AUUGAACGCUGGCGGCAGGCCUAACACAUGCAAGUCGAGCGGCAGCGGGAAAGUAGCUUGCUACUUUUGCCGGCGAGCGGCGGACGGGUGAGUAAUGCCUGGGGAUCUGCCCAGUCGAGGGGGAUAACUACUGGAAACGGUAGCUAAUACCGCAUACGCCCUACGGGGGAAAGCAGGGGACCUUCGGGCCUUGCGCGAUUGGAUGAACCCAGGUGGGAUUAGCUAGUUGGUGAGAUAACGGCUCACCAAGGCGACGAUCCCUAGCUGGUCUGAGAGGAUGAUCAGCCACACUGGAACUGAGACACGGUCCAGACUCCUACGGGAGGCAGCAGUGGGGAAUAUUGCACGAUGGGGGAAACCCUGAUGCAGCCAUGCCGCGUGUGUGAAGAAGGCCUUCGGGUUGUAAAGCACUUUCAGCGAGGAGGAAAGGUCAGUAGCUAAUAUCUGCUGGCUGUGACGUUACUCGCAGAAGAAGCACCGGCUAACUCCGUGCCAGCAGCCGCAGUAA
rnacentral:rRNA from 1 species